rnacentral:misc_RNA from 1 species
GAGGGCGCUGUGAAAUCGUGGAAGUUCGUGCGUUAAAAGGCAAAUGGCCGGCGCAGCGCGUGCGAGCGGGAUACGUGUACGACGACGAAGUACACAUCGCGCUGUGUAGUUCGAUGAUGUGUAACGAGUAAUGUUAAGUGUACGGGACGGUUAGUGAAUACCGUGUAAAUAAACGUGAUGCGAGGGGCCUUACGUUCUAGGCCAUGUAAGACCGGUCUGUUGGUAGGCCGGCGAUGACCACUGAGAAUCCCCCGAGCGCGGUGAUGAAAUCCGUGUCGGAGGGCGAGCUGGGCGUGGAAGAGGUUGUUAAAUCAUACGAAACCAAAUCCCGAGACUCUAGCUCGAGGCUGAAGCGAACCUUCACGCUUCCGAGGAAUUUAUUUCUAAGUGCCACAAGAAUGUCGAAGCGUCGAACGAAUAAAAGUCGUGAUUCUAAAGACGUUAGCGGCGCUGUCAGUGGAAAAGAUAACUCUAAAAACAACGUGCAACAGCAACAACAGCAACAAUAUAAUACGGUUGAUAACAGCAUGCAGCAGAACGUGGGAAGAUUGCAUUGUGGAAAUAACCAGCAGGCAUACCAUCAAGAGAAAUCUGCCAGCAAGAAAGUAUUCGUAAUGUCAUCCUGGAGGAAGUUUAUUAAGAUUAUGCAACAAAUGUCGAACGUAGGUACGCAAAACAAAAGCUCUCACAGGGAUGAGCUUGGCUCUAGUGCGACUGAUAUUCGAGUGCCACCACCGAGACCAGCACACAUUCCAGCGGACAGAGUACCCGGCGUUAUAGGUCUGCGCAAUCACGGCAACACGUGCUUCAUGAACGCUGUACUCCAGUGUCUAUCACACACGGACAUAAUAGCCGAAUAUUUCGUUCUUGACCAAUACAAAGUUGAUCUAUCGCGACGUAACAAACUUAAUUCGAAGAAGUACGGCACCAAGGGUGAAAUUACCGAACAGCUAGCUUUACUUCUAAAAGCAAUCUGGAGUUGCCAAUAUGACCCAGAAAUGAGUACUGCUUUUAAGAGUGUUGUUGAUAAAUACGGUAGUCAGUAUCGUGGUAAUCUUCAACACGAUGCCCAAGAAUUCCUUCUCUGGCUCCUUGACAAGGUUCAUGAGGAUCUCAAUCAAGCUACCAAAAAGAAGUACAAGAUCAUAAAGAAUUCUUUUGGCAGACCCGACGACGUCGUAGCUGCUGAAACUUUAGCGAACCACCUUCGUUGUAACAAUUCUUUCGUUCAUGCCGUAUUCCAGGCACAAUUUCGAUCUAGUCUUACGUGUCCGAGAUGUCAUCGGCAAUCAAACACGUUUGAUCCAUUUCUUUGCGUGUCGGUACCAGUCCCACAAAAUCAUCGGCAAAUGAAUCUCUUUGUAAACGUUCUCUACACGUCUCAACAACCAAGACAAGUUAAGAUUGGCGUCAGCGUGAAUCAAGCUGCGAACGUGAGAGAACUCAGAGAAAUUUUAGCAAGCGAUACUGGCAUUGAAGAGAAUCAUAUGUUGCUUACUGAAGUUCAUGACGAAGGAUUUCAUAGGACAUUCUCUGAUUGCCAACCAUUGUCUGUGAUCACAGAAAACGAUCCUCUUUAUUGUAUAGAACUACCACAGUUGAAGGAACCUGCUGAGCAAGCAUAUAUUUUAUUGGUAUGGAUCAACGUUCUUGUAAAGGGUGACCUGAGGCAACGCUUUGGUAGCCCUUACACAAUGCAGGUUUCUCGGGAGACUUCUUACGAAGAUCUCCAGAAACUUUUGCUCAAGGAAAUGCAUAGUACCUUGACCGAUGAUGUCUUAACAUCCAGUCAAAAUCCAGGAUUAUUUAAUAUUCGUGUUGCUGAUCCAGCAGCAACACCUAUUCAAGACGAACAUCCAUGCAUCGAUCCGUGCGUUGAACAUCCACUUUAUACGGAACAAAUCGAACAAGCAUUAGCACUCUGUGCCGAUGAUUCCGGUCCUCAACAUGUUAAAUUGAUUCUCGAAUGGGACGAGGCUACGAAGAAUAAUAUCAUUCAAGAUGACAGUGAUCAGAUCGAAGAGCACGCCAGUGUGAAACAAUUGAAGACUAAUUCAGAGUUAGGCGGUGCGGUCACGCUCGAAGAAUGUUUUGAUCUUUAUACAAGAGCAGAGACGUUAGGAGCUGAAGAUGCUUGGCAUUGCCCAUAUUGUAAUAAGAAGCAAGAAGUCGUGAAGAAGCUAGGACUUUGGUCUUUGCCUGAUAUCUUAGUAAUACAUUUGAAAAGAUUUCGUCAACAAUCGAAACAAAGAUCGACAUCGAAAUUAACAAUGCUCGUAGAUUUCCCACUUUAUGGUUUUGAUAUGACUCCUCAUCUUGCUCAUAGUGGAGUACAAACACAUAAUAACGUUCCUACCCUUGGAGGCUUAGGUUGGUCUCCAUGGAAAAAGCCAAGGCCACGACAUCAAAGUAUUCCCAAAUACGAUGAGAAUGUUUAUGAUCUCUAUGCUAUUUGUAAUCACCAUGGGCAAGAUCUUCAGGGUGGUCAUUAUACCGCAUUUUGUAGAAAUCCAUACGACACUCAAUGGUAUUGCUUCGAUGAUACAAGAGUCGAAGCUGUAAAUGAUACGAAUCUUAUAACGAAUGCAGCUUACAUGUUAUUUUAUCAACGAAGAGGAUUGACUAGUAACUCUACUGGAAAUUCCUCUGCGGCUUCGACAAGUUCGGCGGGCUCGGGUCUAGAUCAUUGGGUCUCUAAGAUGCCACCGUUUUAUUUUAAUAAUAAAACUAGUUGUAACGUCACAAAUAAUAAACAAAGUAAGUCGCAGGAAAUAUUGUGCCAGGAAAAAAUUGUUGAAGAGAAGAAUAUGAAUAAUUUUAAUAGAGGCUCUCGUAAUUAUGCAACUCUACAGCCAAAGAAGCGAAACGUGGCAACCGAAACGGAUGCUGGAAAUAUUGAUCAUUGUUCGGAUGAUGAAGCCCCUUGUAGAAGAGAAUGGGCUUCACCAAAACCCGUUAGGAAAACAUCUUCUAUCACGUUGACGCCUCAUGUACCAGUAGCAAUAAUUCAAAAUUCUAAUAGUAAUCCAGAUACAACGGUGAUCCAUGAAUCGACAUUGUAACAUACAAUGUAAGCCAGAUUUUGUCUGGCUUCGAGCGUCGUUUAAUGUUCAGUGCCUGGAAUGUUGUAUACUCUGCUUUUUCGUACAGAAGUCGCGAAAGCUGUGAGGGAUCUCAAGAGUUCUGCUCUUCUUUUUUGAUGUUAUUUCUACAAUCUUCUAUAUAAAAGAGUUUGAGAAAAAGAGUGUGGGUUUUUCAAAUGGAUAAAAUGUCAAGCAUUAGUGAUUUUUGUAUUUAUAAUGAUAAUAAUAAUAAUAAUAUUAAUAAUAAUAAUAACGUUUGUAUACAGUUCGCGUGAAAUGUAUUAUAUACAGUGUAAUUAUUAUUAGGAUAAUUUUUAAAAACUGUUGUUAUAUCGCGUUUCAAGAACUGCAACAACAACAAGAAAAUAAGAAAAAGAAAUAAAUCCCUCUUAUAAGUCAUUUACCAUUUAUACUUAGAUUUUCAAUACGAUAGAUAAUAGAAACACAUGUAUGUCCAAAAAGGAUGAAGAAAAUUUUCCUAAAGCAAUUUUAUGUAAUUUCGAAUCGCAAUGCAUAUAUGUGAUAGUCAUAAAUGCGAUCUCGUGUAUGAUAGUCUCAUAUCACGUUAUCAUAGGAUGAAAAUUUGACAAUAAGAGGAUUCUGUGUGCCACAGAAUUCAUUUAUUACAAUCGCUUCAUUUCUUUAUAAAUCUUUCCUGGACAUAAUGUGUAAAUUGCUGAACAUUGCUUUUGAGUCUGUGCUUAGCUGUAAUAUUUAUAUUAUAUUUGUAAUAUCCACUAGUGGCCUUAACUCUGUAAUUAUCUAUCGAUGCAUCAUUAUUUGCAAUCAUAUAAACAUAAUCAAUUUCUCUGAGAAUUUUAUAUUAGAUACCUCUAGAUUAUUAUUUUAUAAAAGCCAUUAGGCAAUUGUAAACUUUAAAUAUCAUUUUGCCGAUAGGCCAAUUUGUAACUAACUUCAACAUCAUUUUGCCGAUAUAUAUAUAUAUAUAUAUAUAUAUAUAUUCGUCGUUUAUUGAGAAAUAUUUUAUACUUCCGGUCAUAAUUCGAGUUCUUCCAACGACUGGCCAAACAAUCAAGUAUCAAUUAUAUCGAAAGAAAAUAAUUCUCGGCAAAAUAACUACUUUUCUCCGGACGACGUUAAAAUAAUCAUUUCUUUUAUAUGUAGUUAUUUUUAAUUCCUUCGUUGUUUAAAAAUACUCUGUCCUCCUAUUUUUAACGAUCAUUCCAAAUAGUCGUUUAGUACGGAGCAAAGGAGAGUAAAAAUUAUGAAAGUGAGAAAAAGAUAUAUAUAUUUAAAUAUAUGUAUGUAUGUAGGUGUGUGUAUAUGCGUAUAUGUAUAUUAAAGAUUCGUAUAUUCACACACGCACAUAACUAUAGUGAGUGAAAAAUAUUUAAGUUAUUUUAAAAUAACAUUUAUAACUAGUCACACAUAUUGUGGACAAAGGUAGCAAUUGCGCGCGUCACUAAUGUAGAAAAAAAUAAAAGAAUAAUAUUAUAUAAUGAAGAAUAAUGUAUUCAGAAAUGGAACAAUGAGAUUGACUAAAGCUAUCUAUAAUUAUGAUUUUAGAAGUUGUGUAUUCAUGUUAACCGACUGAGGGAUAUUUAUAAUUAUUCAUAUUAUUGCUAUAAUUUUGUUAAAAUAAAUAGAGAAUAUAUAUGUACAGUAGGGUAUGCCAUUCCAUUUUAAGCACGCUAUAUUUUUCUGCGUUCUACAAUUUAUCUUAAACUCUCUUACACUUUUUUCUCUAGACACAACCGUAGCACGAUUAUCACACGUUAUAAUGAAAAGAAAAUUGUGCUUUCUUUCGAUAAUUUGUUACGUAACUACGAUUCUUUAUACUUUCGAAUAUGUUUUCACGAGGAAAAAAGGAACAUACAAAAAAUUGCAUAUCCUGCAUGCGGAUUGAAGGAAAGAAAAAGAAAACAGCAAAGAAAUUAACCAAAUUUUUCGCUAGUCUAAUAUUAUUCUGGUAUAAAAUGUGACAAAAUAUAAAAGUGAAUUCGUUACGAAAUGAAUUGAAAAUAAAAAGCAGAUGAAGAAAA